rnacentral:lncRNA from 1 species
GGAAAAUAAGAACAUGGGCCAAUGGGGAGAAACACUGAGCUAGAAGUCAGGAAAUUGCUUUGAUCAGCUCUGUUACCAAGACAAGUAACAAGUGCCAGCUCCACUCAGCAAGCAGGCACCUUUCUUUUGGUUUCAGCUGAGGUUCCAGGAGCUACAGCUGGAUAGGGCCAGAGAGCAUGAAACUAUAAGAAAGGGUCUUAUAUAAAAUUGAGCCCUGAAAACAGAAAUAGUCUGAAGGCUGCUGUGCAGAGAGGCAAAGAGAGAGUUGCCACCAGGUGACCAUGGGAAGGGAUCAGGGGAAGAGAAGCAGAGUCCCAAGGCAAAACCAGAGCAAAUCUCUUAACAAGCCCAUAUACAUAGCAGGUAUGUUUUAUGUUGUUCCACUGCCACAAUGCUGGAUAGGAGAUUAUCUCUUAAGGACACCAAGUCAGUUCAAAUAUCCUCCAUGUCUUGUUACUCAAAGUGAAAUUCAUGAACUAAUGCAUUGGAUAACUAAUGCAGAAUCUCAGCUCCAUUUCAGAUCUACUGAAUCUACUGCCUUUUUUGUUUAUUUCUUUGUUUGUUUGGUUUUGGCACUGGAGAUUGAACCCAGGGGUGCUUUGCCACUUAACUACACCCCUAUCCCUUUUUAACUUUUAUUUUAAGAUAGAGUCUUGCUAAGUUGCUUAGGACCUCACCAAUUUGUGGAGGUUGGGAUCAAACUUGCCAUUCUCCUGCCCUCAAUCUGCCAAUUUGCUGGGAUUUUAGGUGUACACCACCACGCAUGAUUUAGCCUGCAUUUUUAACAAGGUCACUGGUUGAUUCUCAUGCCCCUUAAAGUUCGAGAAGUAUUGUCAGUGAAUCAAUUGUGUUUGCAUGUUUCCGGGUUGUCUAUGAGUACCUUGUUAAGGAUUUCCAACAGGGAGGAAGAGGCAUAAUUCCAACAGGCAUCUUAGGAAGUAUGCCUGGACACUUGGGUUGUCACGGUGAGUCACACUGAUAUUUAGUGGCCAGGUGCCAGGGAUGCUUAAACAUCCUGCAAAUUAUGGGAUGGUUCUACAGAGUAAAAAAAAAAUUGUCCUCUCCAAAUGAGAGUAAUUUUCCUGGUAAGAAACAUGUUGGCAAUUUCUUCAUCUGUAAAAUAAGCAUUUGGGUUUAUUUGGAUUUCAAUGUUUCUCCCGUCUCUAAGACUCUUUUGUUCUACCACUGUUUUCACAUUGAUUUAGAAAAUUCUCAUUGCUCCCUCUAAUUAUGGCUUCUAUGUUCCUAAGUCAUUUUUAUUUAGACAAUCCAAUGGAACUAGUCAUAGGGAUUAACCAUAAAUUCAUAUCAUUCCCUCAUAAAUAUAUCUUGCUCAUUUAGGUUAAGACUCAGAGAACUCUUUUAGUCAAUUAUGAUGCUGAUAAAACAAAGCAAUCUGGAAAUGCUUAUAAUCAGCAAAGAUUUUUGCUAGGUAGAAAUUUAAAGACCUUCCUUGUCUGGUCAGAUUUUAGUUGAAGUGACUGUCUCCCCACCUCACCUCUAGCUGAAGGUCUUGCUGGGUUGGCAUGGGAAAAGGGACAUUGAUGAGAUGCCCUUCUCUAGAAACUUCUUCCAUUGUCUGUAAAGAAAGAACAACUGGGGCUGGGAUACAGCACUCACCUAGCACAGGCGGGACCCGGGUUUGAUCCUCAG